GACGAACGCUGGCGGCGUGCUUAACACCUGCAAGUCGAACGGAAAGGCCCUGCUUUUGUGGGGUGCUCGAGUGGCGAACGGGUGAGUAACACGUGAGUAACCUGCCCUUGACUUUGGGAUAACUUCAGGAAACUGGGGCUGAUACCGGAUAGGAGCUCCUGCUGCAUGGUGGGGGUUGGAAAGUUUCGGCGGUUGGGGAUGGACUCGCGGCUUAUCAGCUUGUUGGUGGGGUAGUGGCUUACCAAGGCUUUGACGGGUAGCCGGCCUGAGAGGGUGACCGGCCACAUUGGGACUGAGAUACGGCCCAGACUCCUACGGGAGGCAGCAGUGGGGAAUAUUGCACAAUGGGCGGAAGCCUGAUGCAGCAACGCCGCGUGCGGGAUGACGGCCUUCGGGUUGUAAACCGCUUUCGCCUGUGACGAAGCGUGAGUGACGGUAAUGGGUAAAGAAGCACCGGCUAACUACGUG
rnacentral:rRNA from 1 species